rnacentral:sRNA from 1 species
GAGGAAGAAUGUGAGCUGCAUGGGAAAAGACAGGAGGAUUUACAAAGAGUGGGUGUUUAAUUGGGGAUGGAAUUAGGUAGUUAUUCUGAUUUUUAGAUUUUUCUUAUCUUUUAUUUGGUCCAGUGAAGCAGAAAAUUUAAAUGAAGUUAUUACCUCUACCUGAUUUUUGACACACCUCAGACUAUAACUUGAGGUUGCUAACUAUAAAACACUGGCAUUUAAUGAUGUAAAGAAUUCUGUAAUUUGUAGACUUCUGAGAAGUUCCAGAAAAUAAAUCAGAUGGUGUGUAACAGCGACCGUGUGCUCAAAAGAAGUGCUGAAGGAAGCAACCCUCCUAAACCGCUGAAAAAACUACGCUUUGAUAUUGAAGGAUCAGAUGAAGCAGAUGGAAGUAAACAUCUCCCAGGAGAGUCCAAAUUUCAGCAGAAACUGGCAGAAAUGACUUCUACUCGAACACGAAUGCAAAAGCAGAAAAUGAAUGAUAGCAUGGAUACCUCAAACAAGGAAGAGAAAUGAGGAUCUCAGGACCUUGGUGGAUACUGUGUACACCUCUGGAUUCAUUGUCUCUGACAGAUGUGACUGUAUAACUUUCCCAGGUUCUGUUUAUGGCCACAUUUAAUAUCUUCAGCUCUUUUUGUGGAUAUAAAAUGUGCAGAUGCAAUUGUUUGGGUGAUUCCUAAGCCACUUGAAACGUUAGUCAUUGUUAUUUAUACAAGAUUGAAAAUCUUGUGUAAAUCCUGCCAUAUAAAAAGUUGUAGCAGAUUGUUUCCUCUUCCAAAGUAAAAUAUGCUGUGCUUUAUGGAUAGUAAGAAUGGCCCUAGAGUGGGAGUCCUGAUAACCCAUGCCUGUCUGACUACUUUGCCUUCUUUUGUAGCAUAUAGGUGAUGUUUGCUCUUGUUUUUAUUAAUUUAUAUGUAUAUUUUUUUAAUUUAACAUGAACAUCCUUAGAAAAUGUGUCCUAUCUAUCUUCCAAAUGCAAUUUGAUUGACUGCCCAUUCACCCAAAUUAUCCUGAACUCUUCUGCAAAAAUGGAUAUUAUUAGAAAUUAGAAAAAAAUUACGAAUUUCACACAUUAGAUUUUAUUUUACUAUUG